rnacentral:rRNA from 1 species
GGGGAAUAUUGGACAAUGGGCGAAAGCCUGAUCCAGCCAUGCCGCGUGAGUGAUGAAGGCCCUAGGGUUGUAAAGCUCUUUCAGUGGGGAAGAUAAUGACGGUACCCACAGAAGAAGCCCCGGCUAACUUCGUGCCAGCAGCCGCGGUAAUACGAAGGGGGCUAGCGUUGUUCGGAAUUACUGGGCGUAAAGCGCGCGUAGGCGGACUUUUAAGUCAGGGGUGAAAUCCCGAGGCUCAACCUCGGAACAGCCUUUGAUACUGGAGGUCUCGAGUCCGAGAGAGGUGAGUGGAAUUCCGAGUGUAGAGGUGAAAUUCGUAGAUAUUCGGAGGAACACCAGUGGCGAAGGCGGCUCACUGGCUCGGUACUGACGCUGAGGUGCGAAAGCGUGGGGAGCAAAC